UACGAAGGGGGCUAGCGUUGUUCGGAAUUACUGGGCGUAAAGCGUAUGCAGGCGGAUCGUUAAGUCGGGGGUGAAAUCCCGAGGCUCAACCUCAGAACUGCCUUCGAUACUGGCGAUCUUCGAGUCCGGGAGAGGUGAGUGGAACUCCGAGUGUAGAGGUGAAAUUCGUAGAUAUUCGGAAGAACACCAGUGGCGAAGGCGGCUCACUGGCCCGGUACUGACGCUGAGAUACGAAAGUGUGGGGAGCAAACAGG
rnacentral:rRNA from 1 species